rnacentral:lncRNA from 1 species
AGCUUUGUUACUAUAGUUGGAUCUUAUGGUGUUUUCCCCUCUACCUUCUUGUGAUGAAUUGAGUAUUACCUUUGAGUUUUGACUAUUAUCAGAUUGAAUACUAUUGGAUUUGAGAACACUUGAUGUAUGUCUUUUGUGAGAUGCCCGUGGUGACAAUGGGGUAUUCUAUUGAUUCACUUGUUGUAUGUUUUGGCACUCAACUUGUGGAUUCUCGAGGUGACAUUGGCAUAAUAUAUGCAUAGGGGUUGAUGCACGUUUUCGUCCUUGUUUCUCGGGUAGAAAUCUUGGGGCGCUCUUUGAGGUUCUUUAUGUUGGAUUGAAUAUUAUGAAUCUGAAGUUGUUUGAAGCAUAUCGUAUAGUUGACCCAUGGAUACUUUUGGUGACAUUGGAGUAUUUAGGUGACAUUAGGGUUCAUUGAUGUGUGUCAUAUGGUGUUAUUUUACUACAAACUCUUGGGCUAUUUGUGAUACUUAUAGGAAUAGCCCAAUGGAUUGAUCGGAAAGAAUAACUUUGAGGUGGUUUCAUACCCUACAAGCAAUUUCAUCUUAUGUUCUCCGUGAUAGGAACUUUGGAGUGACUUUUGUUGCAUGUUGAGGGAUUGUUAUAUGAUCCAAUUAUGUUAUCAUUGUUGAGAGAACUUGCGCUAGUGAAAGUAUGAACCCUAGGCCUUGUUUUCAAGCAUUGCAAUACCAUUUUCGCUCACUUUAACUACUAGUUAGCUUGCUGUUUUUAUAUUUUCAUAUUACAAAAACCUAUAUCUACCAUCCAUAUUGCACUUGUAUCACCAUCUCUUCGCCGAACUAGUGCACCUAUACAAUUUACCAUUGUAUUGGGUGUGUUGGGGACACAAGAGAAUCUUUGUUAUUUGGUUGCAGGGUUUUUUGGGGGAGACCAUCUUCAUCCUAUGCCUCCCACGGAUUGCUAAACCUUAGGUCAUCCACUUGAGGGAAAUUUGCUACUGUCCUACAAAACUCUGCGCUUGGAGGCCCAACACGAGUCUACAAGAGGAAGGUUGCGUAGUAGACAUCAGCUACGGGGGUGCUGAAUCCAUGGCGAAGGCAGUUCGGUGCAGCUAGGAGAACAGAGGAGCGGCACGGGCGGAGGGGCAAAUGGGCUAGGGUUUGGCUGGGUGGAUGCGGCAGCAUUCUUAUCCCCUCGACGGUCCAGUAGCAUAAUCGUCGUGAGCAUCGAGCCAGGGUAGCCGCGGAAGCGCGCCAUGCCAUGGCCUCUGAUCACACAUCACCCUCGAAUAAAAUUAUAGUGUCAGAAUGGACACAUCAUUAUCCUUGUAAUUUCUAUCAAGCCCACUAAUCAAUCCCUGUUCAACAGCCCUGUCACAUAGAAUCUCUGGGAUAUCUACAGCAAGAUCAAAUUGCAAAAGAGACAUAGAAUCCGCCUGCCGCAGACCCCUACCACAGAGGAGACAUAGAAUAUCUACAACAAUAGGACCUAUCUCCCCAUUAACGUUGACUGCCACUUUUCCCCCCGAUACAGUCUUCAUUGCCAAAUCAAUCUAUUUGUCUGGGAAUUUUUUCAUCUUAAGGGUUUGCAAAAGGAAAGGCCAUUUAACCUUGUCAAAGGCAUUCUCAAAAUCAAUCUUCAAGAGAACACCAGACAUUUUUUUGUGCGUAGAAUUCAAAGUCUCAUUCAAAACAAGUACACCCUCUAAAAUAUAUUUACCUUUUAUAAAAGUGGUUUUGGAGGACUUGAUAACUCCAGUAAUUAUAAGGAUUUGUCUAUUCACCAGAAUCUAGGUAAAAAUCUUUAAAAAAAACUUUAAAAGACAAAUUGGUCUAAACUUUUGAAUCAUGUCUACAUCACUCCCUUUGGGUAAAAGAGAGAUUACUCCAUAGUUUAGCCUACCAAGGUCUAAUCUAUGAUCAUAAAAUUCUUCCAAUAAUGCAAAUAAGUCCAGUUUAACCAAAUUGCAAAAAUGCUGAUAAAAUUCAAUAUUAAAACCAUCAGGCCCACACGCUUUAUUUUUCUCCAUACCAAAGACAGCUUCCUUCAACUCUUCCAUAGUGAAUUUCUUAGUAAGGAUUUUUUUUUCCUCCUCACUAAGUGUUUCCACACCAUCGUGGUUUAGUUCCAAGGAUUGAAUUUCAGAUUCACUAAAUAAGUUUUGAUAUAAUUUGGUAAUGUAAUCCUUCAAGUUAUCCUGCCCCUCAAUCACUCCUUCAUCUUGUAGCAACUUCACAAUCCUACUUUUUCUGAAUCUCCCAUUCGCCUUAACAUGAUAGUCUUUAGUAUUUGAGUCUCCUUCAAAUAAUUCUUUAUAAUGAGAUCUUUGUAACCAUUUAGUUUCCUCAUCUUUCAGAAUAAAUAUCAAAUUAUCUCGGCAUUCUUUUUUAUAGCUCCUUUUUCUCCUCAUUUAAAAUAUCACUUUCCCCUAACUUGUCUAGCCUAUCAAUUUCCUCCAUCAAAUUUUCUUCUAUCUUCUAUUAAAAGCCUCAACAUUCAGAUUCCAACGUUUCAACACUUUUCUAAGAUUUCUCAGCUUAUUCAAAUUUUGUCCAGAAGGGUUUUUCCAAGAUAAUCUUUUUUCCACACCUUUUCAACUAUCUCAUCCAAGUAUGUCGGAACCAACAAUUCUCAAAUUUGAAAAUGUAUGGUCUCACAGGAGGCUCUCGAGAUUUGAUAAGCAAAGGAGUUUGAUUAGAGAGCUGCCUAGAUAAAUCUUCAGUAUGCACUAAAGGAAAAUUUCCUUCCCAAGAAGGAGAGACCAACACUCUAUCCAAUAAUGAUUAAGUCGGGUCCUGAUGAUUAUUGGACCAUGUGUAUUUUGUCCUCAUAAGCUAGGUCCCACCUGUCAGCCAAAGAGAACAAAUCAUAGAAAUAAUAAAUGAAAACCGCUGCUUUUUUAGGGUUCAAACCGACAGCCUCGUUGAAACCUGCAGAUGGUGCUCACCAAACGACCUGGCAAAUUUUAUUGUCAUAUAUGGACACAAACUCUUAAUAUUCUUUAACCCGACCAAUAUAAAUUAAAUUCUUAAUCCGAAGGAAAGGAAGUAGCGGGCGUACCAAAAACUUCCCUGUGUGUUAAAAAAACCUUCCCGGAGCGUGCGGGAAGGCUACAAGACCAAUGUGUUUUAAAGUCCUAAGAGCAUACACACAGUUUAUAUCCUUUCUAUUUUAAUCCGAAUUGAGAGGAAGUAGCAUAACUUAAAAACGCAUAUUAUAUGAAAAAAUAUUGGUUGAACUUAAAAAAUAUUAAUGAAUUAUAAAAACGGUAGCAUAAUUUAAAUAAUGUCCAGUUGACGAUCUGCAAAUUGUGUGAACACUAGGCUCAUUAUUUUAUUAAAAAUAGAAUAUGUUUUGAAACACACAUAAACUUUAUUAAAACAAAUGAACAUUUUUUAAGACAACAUAAAAAAAAUUAAAGGUUCUUUAUACACUACAUGAUUAUUUUAUUAAAAUCAUGAAUUUUUUUAAGCUCAUAUGAGAAUUUAUUUAAUUAUAUGAAAAAAUUAGAAUUACUUUAUUAUUUUUAUUAAAUAUGUAAAUUGUUGUAUGAAAGUUUUAAAUUCAUAAUUAAAUUAUGUGGAUAUAUGUGAAUGGAUAUUUUCUAAAUUAAUAAGUGAACAUUUUCAUAAUUUAAUAUAUUUAAUUUUUAUGUAUGACAUUUAAAACGCAUGAUUAUAAUUUACAUGUGUUUUGCAAUUUCUGAAGAAAAAACUAACACCUCAAAAUGGGUCGCAAUGGCAGUGUUCUGUUUAAGGCUAAACACCAUAAAGUCAGUGUAUCCAAAUAGCACAUCAAAAUUCAUUUGGUCGGGUGUUUAUCGACACAUGUUUUAACGCUGAGGUCGCGCGUUCGAACCAUGAAGUGCACCGUAUAUGCACGCCUGAGCCAUGUUUUGGCACCCAUUCAAUGUAUGCCACAAGUUUUAGUACUAAAGUGACUUUUCUUUCACGCCAAGUUCAAGCAUCAGUGGUGUAAUUGACUCAUUCCGGACCUUCCUGCCCCUACGUGUGUUAUGAGAAGAUAGGUCGACGGCCUCUGGCGAUGAUGGCCCGACACGUCUCUGGAAACGCCUUUGGCGACAUCGAUACGUAGAGAUGGCCGGCGUGGUUCGUCGUGGAUCUCCGAGAAGCGAGCGUGCUCAGGUACCACCGAGGUGAGGUGGUGCUGUGUGCGCACCCGCCGAUGGUGCGCCUCAUUGAUGUGCGUGGCUGCAUGAUGGAUUCGCGUGCUGGUGGGGGUCGUGUUGGCCCCUGGUGCCACGGCCGUUUUCCCGUGUCAUGUCGCGCACAUCAAGGAGGAGCGGUGCGACUGGGGGGACGCCUCGGGAGCCGGCAAGGGAGGAAGUGCGGCCGAUGGAGAAAUAAAUCCGGGCUGGAAAUCUGUGAGCGCACUCCUGCUUCCUCCUACCUACCUCAUCUUGUUCCGCAUACUGCGUCUGCUCCUCUCCCAACAGGCGUCUGCGGCGAGGGAGGUGAUGGAGAUCGACGAGGAGAAGUUGCUGAGGUUUGUAGGCAGGGAUGCACGCUAGAGAGCUCGCCUGCGAGAGAUCGGAUCGUGGUAUACACAAGCAAUAAAGUGAUGUACGUGGAGGCGAAGGUGACUUACGAGGGUUUGACAAUGGCAGAGGAGCGGUCGCUCUUCAGGCGGGGGAGGCGCAAGCACCCGCUGGAGGUCCUGAUGUGGGAGAUGGACCAGGCGGACUCUCCGGUGAGGGUCGUGGCGAGGACGUGGGUGGCGUUCACCUCAUUUAAGACUGCGGGCCUCGCCUCAGCCAUGAGAGAAUCGACUCUCAGAUCUCGCGAGGGGGUCCUGGCGCUUCCUGCUCCAGGCUUCGCCAUGGCCCCAAUUGUGACACACGAUGACGCGGCAGAGCAUCCGCCGCAGGUGGUGGCCCAGAUGCCACGCUGCUCCGCUCGACUCGCACCGCCUCCACCAACUCCGAGGCCAUGCCGAUCGGCACGCAUCGCCGGAAUUGAUGCCUGAAUCCUUGACUAGCCAGCAACCGCUUCUGGGGCUGGCUAGUGAGGAUUCAGACGACGAUUGUGACAGGGAUGUCGUCAUUUCAGGUACUAUCAAUCAUCAUGUGCCUGUUUCCAUACCUCAUGUACAUUAAUCUGGGGGGACUCAUGAAAUUGAUAUGCAAUGCUGAAUUAGGUGGAUGAAUUGUAGAAUGGAGGAAAAACUAAAUCCAUACAUUUAGAGCUUGUUCUUAAAAAGGGAUGAAAUAAUAGAUGAGAGACAGAAUAGGAAAAUUCUGAUUGAUUGUUAGGAAAAAUGUACUUCUAUUGAUUCCACUAAUUGGGGGAAACAUCAUAAUAGUGAAAUAUGAGCAGAAACACCAGAGGUUCUGGGGUUAAAAUUGCUUCUGUUAUAAAAACUUUGGAAUCUUCUGCUUGGAAGAAAAAGAAAAUAUGAGAGGCAUUUUCUGGAAUACGAGAGGUUUUGGGGGGCAUCAAAAAACGAUUUCUUAGGGAAAUGAUAAUGGAUAAAAAGGUUGACUUCCGGGGUCUGCAAGAGACCAUGAGACAACAGUUUUUCUAGAACUGGCCUGCAACAAGUUUGUGCUGGCAGAGACUUUCACUAGCAUUUCACCCCUGCUAGGGGGAAAUCUAGUGGAUCUUGCUCGGGGUUAAUUAAUUACACCACUUUAGAUGUAAUCUCUCAAGAUGAAGGAGACUAUCAUAUUAAAAUGACUACUCAAGAUUUAAAAAUCAGGCUGAUUUGGGGCCUAGUAGUUAUAUAUGGAGAUGCUCAGCCAGAAGGAAAAGCAGCUUUUCUGGCUGAGCUAUCUAGAAUUUUUCAACACAACAUCAAUCCCAUACUGAUUGGGGUGACUUUAAUAUUAUUAGAAAUGCUAAUGAGAAAAACAAACCAGGCUCUCCUGGGCAUUGGAGUUUCUUGUUUAAUGCCAUCCUGGAGUAGGUUGGGUUAGGGAACUUGAGAUGCAUGGAAGAUAAUUCACAUGGGGGAAUAACUUGCCUAUUCCCACAUUUGAAAAAUUAGAUAGAAUCUUAUGCAGCACAGAGUGGGAAGAGACAUACCCUUUAACUCAGAUUGCUGCAUUGACUAGAGAGAAAUCUGAUCAUACCCCUCUAUUCUUGGACUCUGGGGACAUGCAGAAAACUGAUCCUAUUUUCAGGUUUGAAAAUGCUUGGUUCCUGAGGGAGGGGAUUGACAAAAUUAUCCAUGAUGUUUGGAAUGAUCCAAGCAUUAGUGGUGAUAGUGUAGAUAGACUUCUGGGUAAAUUUAGGUUGCUUAGACCCAAACUUAAAGACUGGAAGAGAAAUAUGAGUGCACGUUAUACAGAGUUGAAAAAAUAUAUUAUGAUAAGACUGGAUAUAAUUGAUAAGCACUGUGAAAAAAUGGUCAUACAGCUGCUGAUAGAGAAGAGCAAAUGGAAUUGAGAGCUCAACUUGAUAGACUUCUUCAACAAGAACAAGCCAAGUGCAAACAGAGAGCUAAAGUGGAUGAAAUUCUAGAGGGAUAUAGUAAUACCAAAUUCUUCCAUGCCAAACCUAAUGGGAGACAUAGAAGAAAUAGAAUGAACAGGCUGGAACAAGAUGAAUGCGAGAUAGAAGGAGAUACAAACUUGAUGGAGUAUAUCACUCUCUUCUACAAAAAUCUCUUUGGUCCACCUGAUGAUUCUUUUGUAUCUCUUAAUGUAGAUAAUGCAAAAAAGAUACCUACAAAGUAUAGUGAAACACAGAUUGAUAAAUUCGCUUUAGAAGAAAUUAAAGAUGUGGUUUUUAAGAUGGCAUAUAACAACUCACCUGGGCAUGAUGAAUUCACUUUUGAAUUUUAUCAACAUUACUGGGAGUUGGUGAAAGAUGAUCUUAAAGCCCUCUUAGAUGAUUUUGUAGAAAGAAAAGUGUAUAUUAAUAGAUUGAACUAUGGGAUUUUCACAUUGGUUCCUAAGGGGAAAGAAGCCAACAAAAAACUAAAGUUUAGACCUAUAUGUCUACUGAAUGUGAGCUUCAAAAUUAUCACAAAAAUUCUAAUGAAGAGACAAAACCUAGUGGUUGUUGAAGUCAUAUCGCCUGUUCAAACGCUUUCAUUAAGGGCAGUUAUAUUAUGGAGGGAGUCUUGGUACAUCAUGAAGCUUUAAACAGUAUACAUAAGAAGAAACAUAGUGCUUUCUUGUUGAAAAUAGAUUUUGAAAAAGCAUAUGACAAAAUAAAAUGGUCCUUUCUUUUCCAGAUAUUCAAAAUAAAGGGGGUUCCUGGACAAAUGGAUAGACUGGGUAAUGGGGACUAUUAGGGGGGAAGGUGUGUGUCAAAGUGAAUGAUACUUUGGGCAAAUAUUUUCCUACUCAUAAGGGUUUGAGAUAGGGGGACUCUCUGUCCCCCCUUAAUUUUGACCUAGCUGUUGAUGCAUUGGCCAUUAUGCUGGAUAAUGCAAGAAGAAAUGGUUUAGUGAAAGGGUUGCUUAAUGAAAAUGUUCCAAAUGGGGUAAAUAUGUUACAAUAUGUAGAUGAUACCAUCUUCUCGUUGCAAGACGAUAUAGAAACCUCCAGAAAUAAACCUAGAUUAGGAGUUUUGCCGCCGCAAGCCUCUGUAGCCAUGAAAAACCUCUCAAGACCCUGUUCUGACACCCUGCUGGAGGGGGGAAUCAUCACCGGUGGACAUCUUCAUCAUCCUGGCGCUCUCCAUGACGAGGAAGGAGUAGUUCACCCUCAGGGCUGAGGGUAUGUACUAGUAGCUAUGUGUUUGAUCUCUCUCUCUCUCUCUCUCUGUCUCCCUCUCUCUCUCUCUCGUGUUCUUGAUUUGGCACGAUCUUGAUGUGCCGUGAGCUUUGUUACUAUAGUUGGAUCUUAUGGUGUUUUCCCCUCUACCUUCUUGUGAUGAAUUGAGUUUUACCUUUGAGGUUUGACUAUUAUCAGAGUGAAUACUAUUGGAUUUGAGAACACUUGAUGUAUGUCUUUCGUGAGAUACCCGUGGUGACAAUGGGGUCUUCUAUUUAUUCACUUGAUGUAUGUUUUGGCACUCAACUCAUGGAUUCCCGAG